AUUGAACGCUGGCGGCAUGCUUUACACAUGCAAGUCGAACGGUAACAGGGAGCUUGCUCCGCUGACGAGUGGCGAACGGGUGAGUAAUGCGUCGGAACGUGCCGAGUAGUGGGGGAUAACGCAGCGAAAGUUGUGCUAAUACCGCAUACGUACUGAGGUAGAAAGUGGGGGACCUUCGGGCCUCACGCUAUUCGAGCGGCCGACGUCUGAUUAGCUAGUAGGUGAGGUAAAGGCUCACCUAGGCGACGAUCAGUAGCGGGUCUGAGAGGAUGAUCCGCCACACUGGGACUGAGACACGGCCCAGACUCCUACGGGAGGCAGCAGUGGGGAAUUUUGGACAAUGGGCGAAAGCCUGAUCCAGCCAUGCCGCGUGUCUGAAGAAGGCCUUCGGGUUGUAAAGGACUUAUGUCGGGGAGGAAAUCCCCAGCGUUAAUACCGCUGGGGGAUGACAGUACCUGAAGAAUAAGCACCGGCUAACUACGUGCCAGCCGCCGCUGUAACAC
rnacentral:rRNA from 1 species